CCCCGCUUCAUUAGCAAUUGCGAUAUGUCUAAUUUGCAUCCCUUUUUCGAAAAAGGGAUGCAAAUUAGACGUAUCGCAAUUGCUAAUGAAGCGGGGAUUU
rnacentral:pre_miRNA from 1 species